rnacentral:rRNA from 1 species
UACGUAGGGGCCUAGCGUUGUCCGGAAUUAUUGGGCGUAAAGAGCUCGUAGGCGGUUCGGCAAGUCGGAUGUGAAAUCUCCACGCUUAACGUGGAGGGGCCAUUCGAAACUGCUGUGACUCGAGUCCGGUAGGGGAGUGUGGAAUUCCCGGUGUAGCGGUGAAAUGCGCAGAUAUCAGGAGGAACACCUGUGGCGAAAGCGGCUCACUGGACCACAACUGACGCUGAUGCACGAAAGCUAGGGGAGCAAACAGG